UAUGAUUUACCUCCAGCAAAUGUCUUAGCCAUUCAGAACUCAAGGGGGAGACAUAUUAUAUAUCAAAGGCCAUGGCCGGUGGUAUUUACUGGAAACAGGGUGGCUCUGGGCUGGUUGCUACGUUGAUGAAAAAGUUCCCAACUUCUGCAGACCACAGAUGCAAUAAACAACGUCAUUCUUUGCUGGCCUUAUAAUUAGGAUAAAGUCACUGCCUGGAUGCUGAACUCCGACACCAGUGUGCUGUGGCUCUAGAAGA
rnacentral:lncRNA from 1 species